UACAGAGGUCCCAAGCGUUGUUCGGAUUCAUUGGGCGUAAAGGGUGCGUAGGCGGCCCGGUAAGUCGGGUGUGAAAUCUCGGGGCUUAACUCCGAAACUGCAUUCGAUACUGCCGUGCUUGAGGACUGGAGAGGAGAGUGGAAUUUACGGUGUAGCGGUGAAAUGCGUAGAUAUCGUAAGGAAGACCAGUGGCGAAGGCGGGUCUCUGGACAGUUCCUGACGCUGAGGCACGAAGGCCAGGGGAGCAAACGGG
rnacentral:rRNA from 1 species